rnacentral:lncRNA from 1 species
UAAAACAUGUAUAGUCUUAUAUGGUACCACCAAUAACAGUAGGAACAGGACGAAUGUUCACGCCCGAAGUCAUAUUAAAGAGAACAAAAGCAGUAACUUACGGGGCAGAAGGAUCAUAUUGGUAAUACCACUUAACUUCCAUUAACACAUUUUUCAGAAAUCCCAAGUUUCCUUAUGUUCGUACACGCAGCUUCUUUCCACAUUGUAUUUCACCGCCCUCAAGCAUUUCACCUUUCUCCUUCUCCGUCUUCUUUCUGGUGAGUAUUUUGUUAAUCUAAUGCAGCUCAUUGGUAAGUUUCAGCUCUUUGUUUUGUUUCCUGGUCUUCCUACCAUCCUGCAUUUUUACUCCAAACUGGAAUGCAGCUUUUAGCAUUGCUUCCUUCUGCUCAUUGUACGUUUCCCACUCCUUCUGUCUCUAAGUCCCAUCAAUGAAGCCGACCCUUUGCAUGUAGAAAAAAUAAUCAUUUAUCAAAUACUAUCCAGAGGAUUCUGACUGACAACACCACGUUAAGUUGCAGUUGAUUUCUCUGACAAGUGUUACUAUUGACCAAGCAGAUUCAACUAAGUGCCAAAAAAUUUCAGGCUUGUGAGGCAAUAAAUUUUUAUGCAGCUCAUUGGUAAGUUUCAGCUCUUUGUUUUGUUUCCUGGUCUUCCUACCAUCCUACAUUUUUACUCCAAACUGGAAUGCAGCUUUUGGCAUAGCUUCCUUCUGCUCAUUGUACGUUGCCCACUCCUCCUCUGUCUCAAAGUCCCAUCGAUGAAGCUGACCCUUUGCAUGUAGAAAAAAUUAUCUUUUAUCAAAUACUAUCCAGAGGAUUCUGACUGACAACACCACGUUAAGUUGCAGUUGGUUUCUCUGACAAGUGUUACUAUUGACCAAGCAGAUUCAACUAAGUGCCAAAAAAUUUCAGGCUUGUGAGGCAAUACAUUAUUUCCCUUUACACUGAUCAAUAACCUGAAGUAAAUCUGCUCUAUCAUAACAUGUAUAGAUUGUCUUAUAUGGUACAGCUAAUGUGUUUUGUCAAACGAGAGAGAGAGAGAGAUAGAAGUAAAGUUAGACUAGACUAGAACAACAGUAGGAACAGGACGAAUGUCCACUCUCAAAGUCAUAUUAAACAGGACUUUGCACACCCCCCUUACGAAUGUGAGGCUCAGCGAUCCUAAUUGUUUUACAGCAUCCCUAUGUUAGCUGCCUUUUAAGGUCUUUGCACACCCCGCUUAAGGAUGAAUUAACGACUAAUUGGAACAAUAAGGAUGAAUAUACAACAACAAUAAGGAUGAAUAUGGAAAAGAGAAAUAAAUGCUUCUUGUUUUUUUUUUCUGUUUUCUGAAACUUCAAAUAUCUGGAACUAAUUCAGUUUGCCAUUCACAAGAUUUAUUUUCCUGGUUUCUGGAAGUACCAUUGAUGGAACAUGAAGUACAAAAAGCAGUAAUAGCAGCAGAAAGCUCCUGCAACUGUCACAAACCCCUCCAGAUACUAAAUAUUAGAAUAAAAAACAAAUUCCUCCAGAAACUACUGGUUAUCUUUUUGUUAACAGGCCACCACCCAAUUCAAGCUAAGUACAUCUCCAGAAACUAUUGAUUAUCUUUUUGUUAACAGGCCACCACCCAAUUCAAGCUAAGUACAUCCCUUACAUAACAGACAAUUCCUUAAAUCGAGAAAUGCACAGGGAAAAAGAUAAUACAAAUUGUUAACAAGGUAACCAAUCAUAUGAAUGAAGGCAUCCGAUAAUAGAUACAUUUCAGCAGGUUUUACCUUCUGAAAAGCAACUGUUAGCAGUGUCACUAAUGCAAGCUGCGCAACAGCAGCUUCUGAUUCCUCUCCAGUCCUGUAUGCUAUUCCUAGACUUAUAAUGUGUACAUAUAAAGAAACUUGCAUCAUUACUCAUAUUAAGAGUGCAAUAAAAGAUGAUUUUCAAAAUAAAGUAGAAUGGCACAACAAUCAAAUAUCAAAACUGAUGUACCUCCUCAAUUGAGGCAUAGUUGUUGAUUAUUUGUGCAAGUUCGUAUUAUUUUUAUCUUGAAAAUGGCAUUCUUCAUGUUAAACAGCCAAA